AGAUGGGAACAAGUGAAGCUGCCAGCAUGAUCUAAACUUGGCCACUUAAAUAUUACUAGUACAAUAUAUGUAUGGUUGGCUAAGGUUAGGUCAUGCUCGGACAGCCUCACUUCUUCCUUUC
rnacentral:pre_miRNA from 1 species